AUGUUUGGAGUCAAAACUAUAUAUUUUGAAAUUCAAAAUUUAAACACAAUUACACUCUCAUUUUUACAUUUCACAAGAUCAAACCAAAAAACUCUCUCUAUUUUUCUCUUAUCUUCUUCAAGAAGCUUUAACCAAAAUUCACAACAAAAUCUUCAACUCUUUCUUCUUUCCAUUUCCACGAGCAUCAUCGCUACAGUCCCUCUGAUUUCGCGCCGUCAGUGUGCCCUCUCCUUUGCCGCAGAUUCUGCCGUGAGAUCGCCUCCUCCGUCGCGGCACUUCGUCGGUCAGUGCCUCCUUCUGUCGCGUACAUCAACCGACGGUUCUCCCUCCGUUCUCCAACAGUCCACCGCAGAUCCUCUUCUGAUCGCGAGUUCUCCGGCCAAUUCCACUUUAUCUUCUCCUAUUUGCUUGCUUGCGUCAAUUUCGAUAUUUGAUGACCCAACAAAAUUAACACAAGAUGAUUUAUAUGAUUUGCGACUCUGUUGGGUAAAAUGUUUCUUUAAGAUAUAUAAAAAU